UUCGCCCUUCGCCCGGGGCGCGCCCCGGGCGGGGCGGGGGCACGGGGGGAACGCGAAGAACCUUACCAAGGCUUGACAUGGACCGGACCGCCGCAGAAAUGUGGUUUCCCCUUUGGGGCCGGUUCACAGGUGGUGCAUGGUUGUCGUCAGCUCGUGUCGUGAGAUGUUGGGUUAAGUCCCGCAACGAGCGCAACCCUCGUUCCAUGUUGCCAGCGCGUAAUGGCGGGGACUCAUGGGAGACUGCCGGGGUCAACUCGGAGGAAGGUGGGGACGACGUCAAAUCAUCAUGCCCCUUAUGUCUUGGGCUUCACGCAUGCUACAAUGGCCGGUACAAAGGGUUGCGAUACUGUGAGGUGGAGCUAAUCCCAAAAAGCCGGUCUCAGUUCGGAUUGGGGGUCUG
rnacentral:rRNA from 1 species